AGUGGAGAUAGCUAGAUUGAUUGGGACACCUGAAGCCAAUCAGAGGCUGGCUUGAACUAGUUAAAAGCCUCCCAGCUAGUCAGUGAGGUGUAGGUGUCAGGAGCUAUAGGAAGGAGCCAUGCUGUUGAAGGAAUGAAGAAGUACAAAUCCAUAUCAGGUGCAUGGAAGGAGGUCCUGAGGUCUCACCAGUCAUACCAUCUUAUGAUGUGAUCCCAUCAGCUAUCACAAGCUAAGGCGGGUUGAACUGGAUCAAGACUUGGAAAGGAUGCUGCCAAGAAACAAGAAUGGUGGUGCCCUUCAACGAUGCACUGGUGCUGUGAAGACAUGAACCAUGCAUGCACAGUCACUGGGAUGGAGUGCGCCACUUGUCG